rnacentral:rRNA from 1 species
UACGUAGGGGGCGAGCGUUGUCCGGAUUUACUGGGUGUAAAGGGCGUGUAGGCGGGAGCGCAAGUCAGAUGUGAAAACUAUGGGCUUAACCCAUAGCCUGCAUUUGAAACUGUGUUUCUUGAGUGAUGGAGAGGCAGGCGGAAUUCCCAGUGUAGCGGUGAAAUGCGUAGAUAUUGGGAGGAACACCAGUGGCGAAGGCGGCCUGCUGGACAUUAACUGACGCUGAGGCGCGAAAGCGUGGGGGGCAAACAGGAUUAGAUACCCUGGUAGUCCACGCCGUAAACGAUGGAUACUAGGUGUGGGGGGACUAACCCCUCCCGUGCCGCAGUUAACACAAUAAGUAUCCCACCUGGGGAGUACGAUCGCAAGAUUGAA